AGGAUUAUAGUUUAUAAAAACAUUUGAUUUGCACUCAAAAAAUAUUGUUAUUCAAUUUAUCUUA
rnacentral:tRNA from 2 species